rnacentral:rRNA from 1 species
CCUACGGGAGGCAGCAGUGAGGAAUAUUGGUCAAUGGACGAGAGUCUGAACCAGCCAAGUAGCGUGAAGGAUGACUGCCCUAUGGGUUGUAAACUUCUUUUAUAUGGGAAUAAAAUGUUCCACGUGUGGGUUUUUGUAUGUACCUUAUGAAUAAGGAUCGGCUAACUCCGUGCCAGCAGCCGCGGUAAUACGAAGGGUGCGAGCGUUGUUCGGAAUUACUGGGUGUAAAGGGAGUGUAGGCGGAUAUGUAAGAGAGCGGUGAAAUGCCGGGGCUCAACCCCGGAACUGCCAUUAUGACUAUGUAUCUAGAGUAAUGGAGAGGUUAGCGGAAUACCCAGUGUAGAGGUGAAAUUCGUAGAUAUUGGGUAGAACACCGAUGGCGAAGGCGGCUAUCUAGCCAUUUACUGACGCUGAGGCUCGAAAGCAUGGGGAUCAAACAGGAUUAGAUACCCUAGUAGUC